rnacentral:rRNA from 1 species
CCUACGGGCGGCAGCAGUGAGGAAUAUUGGUCAAUGGACGAGAGUCUGAACCAGCCAAGUAGCGUGAAGGAUGACUGCCCUAUGGGUUGUAAACUUCUUUUAUAUGGGAAUAAAACGUUCCACGUGUGGGAUUUUGUAUGUACCAUAUGAAUAAGGAUCGGCUAACUCCGUGCCAGCAGCCGCGGUAAUACGGAGGAUCCGAGCGUUAUCCGGAUUUAUUGGGUUUAAAGGGAGCGUAGGUGGAUGGUUAAGUCAGUUGUGAAAGUUUGCGGCUCAACCGUAAAAUUGCAGUUGAAACUGGCAGUCUUGAGUACAGUAGAGGUGGGCGGAAUUCGUGGUGUAGCGGUGAAAUGCUUAGAUAUCACGAAGAACUCCGAUUGCGAAGGCAGUUCACUGGACUGCAACUGACACUGAGGCUCGAAAGUGUGGGUAUCAAACAGGAUUAGAUACCCCAGUAGUC